rnacentral:rRNA from 1 species
GACGAACGCUGGCGGCGUGCCUAAUACAUGCAAGUAGAACGCUGAAGAGAGGAGCUUGCUCUUCUUGGAUGAGUUGCGAACGGGUGAGUAACGCGUAGGUAACCUGCCUGGUAGCGGGGGAUAACUAUUGGAAACGAUAGCUAAUACCGCAUGAUAUUAAUUGUCGCAUGAUAAUUAAUUGAAAGAUGCAAUUGCAUCACUACCAGAUGGACCUGCGUUGUAUUAGCUAGUUGGUGAGGUAACGGCUCACCAAGGCGACGAUACAUAGCCGACCUGAGAGGGUGAUCGGCCACACUGGGACUGAGACACGGCCCAACCUCCUACGGGAGGCAGCAGUAGGGAAUCUUCGGCAAUGGGGGGAACCCUGACCGAGCAACGCCGCGUGAGUGAAGAAGGUUUUCUGGAUCGUAAAGCUCUGUUGUAAGAGAAGAACGGGUGUGAGAGUGGAAAGUUCACACU